rnacentral:other from 22 species
UUCUCCCUGUCCUGUUCGACGGCUGUAGUGCCCGGGCGGAAUAAACAAUGAACGGGAGACCAUUCUUGUCGUGGUGUGCUGCCCCAUUGCGUGGGAUUUGCCUGAAGCGGCAUAUGGUCGCCCACCUGUUAAGGAACUCGCCGGAGGUCCUUUUAGGUUGACGGCAGGACGGGGAGAGU